rnacentral:misc_RNA from 1 species
UCAAACUUGGUCAUUUAGAGGAAGUAAAAGUCGUAACAAGGUUUCCGUAGGUGAACCUGCGGAAGGAUCAUUACUGGGUAUAAAGGGUCUUCGGACCCGCCAACCCGCCCUCUGUCAUUUGUAUCUCUUUGUUUCGGCUUUGGUGGGCACCCCCUCUAAACGUUUUAGAAGGGUGGCAGCCGCCGGGCCGGCAUUGCAAACCCAUGAGAAAUUCUGAAGUCUGAGAAAUCUUUGAAAUAAGAAAAAAAACUUUCAACAACGGAUCUCUUGGUUCUGGCAUCGAUGAAGAACGCAGC